rnacentral:rRNA from 1 species
UACGGAGGGUGCGAGCGUUGUCCGGAAUCACUGGGCGUAAAGGGCGCGUAGGUGGCGCGGGAAGUCAACGGUGAAAGUUCGGGGCUCAACCCUGAAUCGGCCGUCGAUACUCCCGGGCUCGAGCACUGUAGAGGCAGAUGGAAUUCCGGGUGUAGCGGUGGAAUGCGUAGAGAUCCGGAAGAACACCGGUGGCGAAGGCGGCGACCUGGUCCGAUACUGACGCUGAGGCGCGAAAGCGUGGGGAGCAAACAGG